CCUACGGGUGGCAGCAGUGGGGAAUAUUGCACAAUGGGGGGAACCCUGAUGCAGCGACGCCGCGUGAGUGAAGAAGUAUUUCGGUAUGUAAAGCUCUAUCAGCAGGGAAGAAAAUGACGGUACCUGCCUAAGAAGCCCCGGCUAACUACGUGCCAGCCGCCGCGGUAAUACGUAGGGGGCAAGCGUUAUCCGGAUUUACUGGGUGUAAAGGGAGCGCAGACGGAUGUGCAAGUCUGGAGUGAAAGGCGGGGGCCCAACCCCCGGACUGCUCUGGAAACUGUAAAGCUGGAGUGCAGGAGAGGUAAGCGGAAUUCCUAGUGUAGCGGUGAAAUGCGUAGAUAUUAGGAGGAACACCAGUGGCGAAGGCGGCUUACUGGACUGCAACUGACGUUGAGGCUCGAAAGCGUGGGGAGCAAACAGGAUUAGAUACCCGGGUAGUC
rnacentral:rRNA from 1 species